rnacentral:lncRNA from 1 species
GUAGACCUGAGCCGUUCCUAUUCGGCCAUCUUGGCUCCUCAAAUCUAUAUUCAAAAGUCUCACUCAUUUUGCUGCUCAGCAGAAGGAUUGUAAAAAUGAAAAAUAAAAAAAAGGCUUUUACAUCAAAUAUUGAUAACGAUAAUAAUGAUUAACACAUGUGGAGCACUUACCAUCUCUCAAGCACUGCUCUAGAGCUUUCCAUGAAAGAAUCCCUCUAAUCUUCAGAACAAUCCUGUGAGAACUGGCUGAAGUUUACUUUUUGGUACUCCAGAGACCUAGCUUCUUCUUGCCUUCUUCCAAUGUGGUCUAUUUAAUCUCCUGUCGUGUGGGAAAUUAUGUUCAAAAUCUCCGUGAUCCUCUGUCCAUAGAGCUGCUGCCAAAUCAACACCUCGAUAUGUUUGUUCUUGGAGAGAAAUGAGCUAAGGAGGAAGACCGUCUAAAAAUACCACUGGACA